AGAGUUUGAUCAUGGCUCAGAGCGAACGCUGGCGGCAGGCUUAACACAUGCAAGUCGAGCGGGCGUAGCAAUACGUCAGCGGCAGACGGGUGAGUAACGCGUGGGAACGUACCUUUUGGUUCGGAACAACACAGGGAAACUUGUGCUAAUGCCGGAUAAGCCCUUACGGGGAAAGAUUUAUCGCCGAAAGAUCGGCCCGCGUCUGAUUAGCUAGUUGGUAGGGUAAUGGCCUACCAAGGCGACGAUCAGUAGCUGGUCUGAGAGGAUGAUCAGCCACAUUGGGACUGAGACACGGCCCAAACUCCUACGGGAGGCAGCAGUGGGGAAUAUUGGACAAUGGGGGCAACCCUGAUCCAGCCAUGCCGCGUGAGUGAUGAAGGCCCUAGGGUUGUAAAGCUCUUUUGUGCGGGAAGAUAAUGACGGUACCGCAAGAAUAAGCCCCGGCUAACUUCGUGCCAGCAGCCGCGGUAAUACGAAGGGGGCUAGCGUUGCUCGGAAUCACUGGGCGUAAAGGGUGCGUAGGCGGGUUUUUAAGUCAGGGGUGAAAUCCUGGAGCUCAACUCCAGAACUGCCUUUGAUACUGAAGAUCUUGAGUCCGGGAGAGGUGAGUGGAACUGCGAGUGUAGAGGUGAAAUUCGUAGAUAUUCGCAAGAACACCAGUGGCGAAGGCGGCUCACUGGCCCGGUACUGACGCUGAGGCACGAAAGCGUGGGGAGCAAACAGGAUUAGAUACCCUAGUAGUCC
rnacentral:rRNA from 1 species